GUUCUCACUUUAGCAGCACAUAUACUAAAAUGGGGAUGAUACAGAGAAGAUUAGCAUGGCCCCUGCACAAGGAUGACAUGCAAAUUCGAGACAUGGUCCAUAUUUUU
ensembl:snRNA U6 U6 spliceosomal RNA